rnacentral:tRNA from 1 species
GCGGAUGUGGUGAAAUUGGUAGACACACCAGACUUAGGAUCUGGCGCCGCGAGGCAUGGGAGUUCGAGUCUCUUCAUCCGCACCA